rnacentral:rRNA from 1 species
UAAUACAGAGGGCCCGAGCGUUGCGCGGAUUCACUGGGCUUAAAGGGUGCGUAGGCGGAGGCGUAAGUGCCUCGUGAAAUCCCACGGCUCAACCGUGGAAUUGCGGGGCAUACUGCGUCUCUUGAGGUCGGUAGGCGCCGCCGGAACUGUGGGUGUAGCGGUGAAAUGCGUAGAUAUCCACAGGAACGCCGAUGGUGAAGACGGGCGGCUAGGCCGAUUCUGACGCUGAGGCACGAAAGCGUGGGGAUCAAACAGGAUUAGAUACCCUGGUAGUCCACGCCGUAAACGAUGUGCACUAGACCUCGAAGGCUCUGACGCCGGCGGGGUCGAAGUAAAAACGAUUAGUGCACCGCCUGGGGAGUACGGUCGCAAGGCUA